AAACUUGAGAGUUUGAUCCUGGCUCAGAACGAACGCUGGCGGCAGGCUUAACACAUGCAAGUCGAACGCCCCGCAAGGGGAGUGGCAGACGGGUGAGUAACGCGUGGGAAUCUACCCAGAUCUUCGGAACAACACAGGGAAACUUGUGCUAAUACCGGAUACGCCCUACGGGGGAAAGAUUUAUCGGAUUUGGAUGAGCCCGCGUUGGAUUAGCUAGUUGGUGGGGUAAUGGCCUACCAAGGCGACGAUCCAUAGCUGGUCUGAGAGGAUGAUCAGCCACACUGGGACUGAGACACGGCCCAGACUCCUACGGGAGGCAGCAGUGGGGAAUAUUGGACAAUGGGCGCAAGCCUGAUCCAGCCAUGCCGCGUGAGUGAUGAAGGCCUUAGGGUUGUAAAGCUCUUUCAGUGGGGACGAUAAUGACGGUACCCACAGAAGAAGCCCCGGCUAACUUCGUGCCAGCAGCCGCGGUAAUACGAAGGGGGCUAGCGUUGUUCGGAUUUACUGGGCGUAAAGCGCACGUAGGCGGAUCGUUAAGUCGG
rnacentral:rRNA from 1 species